rnacentral:rRNA from 1 species
GAUGAACGCUGGCGGUCUGCUUAACACAUGCAAGUCGAACGGAACUCUUCGGAGUUUAGUGGCGGACGGGUGAGUAACGCGUGAGAAUCUGCCUUCAGGUUGGGGACAACAGUUGGAAACGACUGCUAAUACCCAAUGUGCCGCGAGGUGAAAGCUUUAGUGCCUGAAGAUGAGCUCGCGUCUGAUUAGCUAGUUGGUGAGGUAAUGGCUUACCAAGGCGACGAUCAGUAGCUGGUCUGAGAGGAUGAUCAGCCACACUGGGACUGAGACACGGCCCAGACUCCUACGGGAGGCAGCAGUGGGGAAUUUUCCGCAAUGGGCGCAAGCCUGACGGAGCAAGACCGCGUGAGGGAGGAAGGCUCUUGGGUUGUAAACCUCUUUUAUCAGGGAAGAAGAUCUGACGGUACCUGAUGAAUCAGCAUCGGCUAACUCCGUGCCAGCAGCCGCGGUAAUACGGAGGAUGCAAGCGUUAUCCGGAUUUAUUGGGCGUAAAGCGUCCGCAGGUGGUUUUUCAAGUCUGCUGUUAAAGCGCAGAGCUUAACUCUGUAACGGCGGUGGAAACUGAGAGACUAGAGUAUGGUAGGGGUUGCGGGAAUUCCCAGUGUAGCGGUGAAAUGCGUAGAUAUUGGGAAGAACACCAGCGGCGAAAGCGCGCAACUGGGCCAUUACUGACACUCAUGGACGAAAGCUAGGGGAGCGAAAGGGAUUAGAUACCCCUGUAGUCCUAGCUGUAAACGAUGGGUACUAGGUGUUGACCG